rnacentral:pre_miRNA from 1 species
AAAGUACUCCCUCCGUUCGAAAUUACUUGUCAAAGAAAUGGAUGUAUCUAGAUGUAUUUUAGGUCUAGAUACAUCCAUUUUCGAGACAAGUAAUUUCAAACGGAGGGAGUACAAA